UACGUAGGUGGCAAGCGUUAUCCGGAAUUAUUGGGCGUAAAGAGCGCGCAGGUGGUUAAUUAAGUCUGAUGUGAAAGCCCACGGCUUAACCGUGGAGGGUCAUUGGAAACUGGUAGACUUGAGUGCAGGAGAGGAGAGUGGAAUUCCAUGUGUAGCGGUGAAAUGCGUAGAUAUAUGGAGGAACACCGGUGGCGAAAGCGGCUCUCUGGCCUGUAACUGACACUGAGGCUCGAAAGCGUGGGGAGCAAACAGG
rnacentral:rRNA from 1 species